UGGGAGCUUGCUCCCUGAUGUUAGCGGCGGACGGGUGAGUAACACGUGGGUAACCUGCCUGUAAGACUGGGAUAACUCCGGGAAACCGGGGCUAAUACCGGAUGCUUGUUUGAACCGCAUGGUUCAAACAUAAAAGGUGGCUUCGGCUACCACUUACAGAUGGACCCGCGGCGCAUUAGCUAGUUGGUGAGGUAAUGGCUCACCAAGGCAACGAUGCGUAGCCGACCUGAGAGGGUGAUCGGCCACACUGGGACUGAGACACGGCCCAGACUCCUACGGGAGGCAGCAGUAGGGAAUCUUCCGCAAUGGACGAAAGUCUGACGGAGCAACGCCGCGUGAGUGAUGAAGGUUUUCGGAUCGUAAAGCUCUGUUGUUAGGGAAGAACAAGUGCCGUUCAAAUAGGGCGGCACCUUGACGGUACCUAACCAGAAAGCCACGGCUAACUACGUGCCAGCAGCCGCGGUAAUACGUAGGUGGCAAGCGUUGUCCGGAAUUAUUGGGCGUAAAGGGCUCGCAGGCGGUUUCUUAAGUCUGAUGUGAAAGCCCCCGGCUCAACCGGGGAGGGUCAUUGGAAACUGGGGAACUUGAGUGCAGAAGAGGAGAGUGGAAUUCCACGUGUAGCGGUGAAAUGCGUAGAGAUGUGGAGGAACACCAGUGGCGAAGGCGACUCUCUGGUCUGUAACUGACGCUGAGGAGCGAAAGCGUGGGGAGCGAACAGGAUUAGAUACCCUGGUAGUCCACGCCGUAAACGAUGAGUGCUAAGUGUUAGGGGGUUUCCGCCCCUUAGUGCUGCAGCUAACGCAUUAAGCACUCCGCCUGGGGAGUACGGUCGCAAGACUGAAACUCAAAGGAAUUGACGGGGGCCCGCACAAGCGGUGGAGCAUGUGGGUUUAAUUCGAAGCAACGCGAAGAACCUUACCAGGUCUUGACAUCCUCUGACACCCCUAGAGAUAGGGCUUCCCCUUCGGGGGCAGAGUGACAGGUGGUGCAUGGUUGUCGUCAGCUCGUGUCGUGAGAUGUUGGGUUAAGUCCCGCAACGAGCGCAACCCUUGAUCUUAGUUGCCAGCAUUCAGUUGGGCACUCUAAGGUGACUGCCGGUGACAAACCGGAGGAAGGUGGGGAUGACGUCAAAUCAUCAUGCCCCUUAUGACCUGGGUUACACACGUGCUACAAUGGACAGAACAAAGGGCAGCGAGACCGCGAGGUUAAGCCAAUCCCACAAAUCUGUUCUCAGUUCGGAUCGCAGUCUGCAACUCGACUGCGUGAAGCUGGAAUCGCUAGUAAUCGCGGAUCAGCAUGCCGCGGUGAAUACGUUCCCGGGCCUUGUACACACCGCCCGUCACACCACGAGAGUUUGUAACACCCGAAGUCGGUGAGGUAACCUUUAGGAGCCAGCCGCCG
rnacentral:rRNA from 1 species